AGUUUGAUCCUGGCUCAGGAUGAACGCUGGCGGCGUGCUUAACACAUGCAAGUCGAACGAGAAUCCAGUGAAGGAGUUUUCGGACAACGGAUCUGGAGGAAAGUGGCGGACGGGUGAGUAACGCGUGAGCAAUCUGCCUUGGAGUGGGGAAUAACGGUUGGAAACAGCCGCUAAUACCGCAUGAUGCGUCUGGGAGGCAUCUCUCUGGACGCCAAAGAUUUAUCGCUCUGAGAUGAGCUCGCGUCUGAUUAGCUUGUUGGCGGGGUAAAGGCCCACCAAGGCGACGAUCAGUAGCCGGACUGAGAGGUUGGCCGGCCACAUUGGGACUGAGACACGGCCCAGACUCCUACGGGAGGCAGCAGUGGGGAAUAUUGGGCAAUGGGCGCAAGCCUGACCCAGCAACGCCGCGUGAAGGAAGAAGGCUUUCGGGUUGUAAACUUCUUUUCUGAGGGACGAAGAAAGUGACGGUACCUCAGGAAUAAGCCACGGCUAACUACGUG
rnacentral:rRNA from 1 species